GGGUUGUGAGGUUAAGCGACUAAGCGUACACGGUGGAUGCCCUGGCAGUCAGAGGCGAUGAAGGACGUGCUAAUCUGCGAUAAGCGUCGGUAAGGUGAUAUGAACCGUUAUAACCGGCGAUUUCCGAAUGGGGAAACCCAGUGUGAUUCGUCACACUAUCAUUAACUGAAUCCAUAGGUUAAUGAGGCGAACCGGGGGAACUGAAACAUCUAAGUACCCCGAGGAAAAGAAAUCAACCGAGAUUCCCCCAGUAGCGGCGAGCGAACGGGGAGCAGCCCAGAGCCUGAAUCAGUGUGUGUGUUAGUGGAAGCGUCUGGAAAGGCGUGCGAUACAGGGUGACAGCCCCGUACACAAAAAUGCACAUACUGUGAGCUCGAUGAGUAGGGCGGGACACGUGGUAUCCUGUCUGAAUAUGGGGGGACCAUCCUCCAAGGCUAAAUACUCCUGACUGACCGAUAGUGAACCAGUACCGUGAGGGAAAGGCGAAAAGAACCCCGGCGAGGGGAGUGAAAAAGAACCUGAAACCGUGUACGUACAAGCAGUGGGAGCACGCUUAGGCGUGUGACUGCGUACCUUUUGUAUAAUGGGUCAGCGACUUAUAUUCUGUAGCAAGGUUAACCGAAUAGGGGAGCCGAAGGGAAACCGAGUCUUAACUGGGCGUUAAGUUGCAGGGUAUAGACCCGAAACCCGGUGAUCUAGCCAUGGGCAGGUUGAAGGUUGGGUAACACUAACUGGAGGACCGAACCGACUAAUGUUGAAAAAUUAGCGGAUGACUUGUGGCUGGGGGUGAAAGGCCAAUCAAACCGGGAGAUAGCUGGUUCUCCCCGAAAGCUAUUUAGGUAGCGCCUCGUGAAUUCAUCUCCGGGGGUAGAGCACUGUUUCGGCAAGGGGGUCAUCCCGACUUACCAACCCGAUGCAAACUGCGAAUACCGGAGAAUGUUAUCACGGGAGACACACGGCGGGUGCUAACGUCCGUCGUGAAGAGGGAAACAACCCAGACCGCCAGCUAAGGUCCCAAAGUCAUGGUUAAGUGGGAAACGAUGUGGGAAGGCCCAGACAGCCAGGAUGUUGGCUUAGAAGCAGCCAUCAUUUAAAGAAAGCGUAAUAGCUCACUGGUCGAGUCGGCCUGCGCGGAAGAUGUAACGGGGCUAAACCAUGCACCGAAGCUGCGGCAGCGACGCUUAUGCGUUGUUGGGUAGGGGAGCGUUCUGUAAGCCUGUGAAGGUGUGCUGUGAGGUAUGCUGGAGGUAUCAGAAGUGCGAAUGCUGACAUAAGUAACGAUAAAGCGGGUGAAAAGCCCGCUCGCCGGAAGACCAAGGGUUCCUGUCCAACGUUAAUCGGGGCAGGGUGAGUCGACCCCUAAGGCGAGGCCGAAAGGCGUAGUCGAUGGGAAACAGGUUAAUAUUCCUGUACUUGGUGUUACUGCGAAGGGGGGACGGAGAAGGCUAUGUUGGCCGGGCGACGGUUGUCCCGGUUUAAGCGUGUAGGCUGGUUUUCCAGGCAAAUCCGGAAAAUCAAGGCCGAGGCGUGAUGACGAGGCACUACGGUGCUGAAGCAACAAAUGCCCUGCUUCCAGGAAAAGCCUCUAAGCAUCAGGUAACAUCAAAUCGUACCCCAAACCGACACAGGUGGUCAGGUAGAGAAUACCAAGGCGCUUGAGAGAACUCGGGUGAAGGAACUAGGCAAAAUGGUGCCGUAACUUCGGGAGAAGGCACGCUGAUACGUAGGUGAAGCGACUUGCUCGUGGAGCUGAAAUCAGUCGAAGAUACCAGCUGGCUGCAACUGUUUAUUAAAAACACAGCACUGUGCAAACACGAAAGUGGACGUAUACGGUGUGACGCCUGCCCGGUGCCGGAAGGUUAAUUGAUGGGGUUAGCGCAAGCGAAGCUCUUGAUCGAAGCCCCGGUAAACGGCGGCCGUAACUAUAACGGUCCUAAGGUAGCGAAAUUCCUUGUCGGGUAAGUUCCGACCUGCACGAAUGGCGUAAUGAUGGCCAGGCUGUCUCCACCCGAGACUCAGUGAAAUUGAACUCGCUGUGAAGAUGCAGUGUACCCGCGGCAAGACGGAAAGACCCCGUGAACCUUUACUAUAGCUUGACACUGAACAUUGAGCCUUGAUGUGUAGGAUAGGUGGGAGGCUUUGAAGUGUGGACGCCAGUCUGCAUGGAGCCGACCUUGAAAUACCACCCUUUAAUGUUUGAUGUUCUAACGUGGACCCGUGAUCCGGGUUGCGGACAGUGUCUGGUGGGUAGUUUGACUGGGGCGGUCUCCUCCUAAAGAGUAACGGAGGAGCACGAAGGUUGGCUAAUCCUGGUCGGACAUCAGGAGGUUAGUGCAAUGGCAUAAGCCAGCUUGACUGCGAGCGUGACGGCGCGAGCAGGUGCGAAAGCAGGUCAUAGUGAUCCGGUGGUUCUGAAUGGAAGGGCCAUCGCUCAACGGAUAAAAGGUACUCCGGGGAUAACAGGCUGAUACCGCCCAAGAGUUCAUAUCGACGGCGGUGUUUGGCACCUCGAUGUCGGCUCAUCACAUCCUGGGGCUGAAGUAGGUCCCAAGGGUAUGGCUGUUCGCCAUUUAAAGUGGUACGCGAGCUGGGUUUAGAACGUCGUGAGACAGUUCGGUCCCUAUCUGCCGUGGGCGCUGGAGAACUGAGGGGGGCUGCUCCUAGUACGAGAGGACCGGAGUGGACGCAUCACUGGUGUUCGGGUUGUCAUGCCAAUGGCACUGCCCGGUAGCUAAAUGCGGAA
rnacentral:rRNA from 1 species